CACGCCAGCCGGGCCGGGGUGCGGGCGGACGGGGGUGGCGGCUGGCGCGGGUAUGUUGGAGAACCAGAGAACUCCACUGAACAGAGCUGCUGAGGACACUGUCUUCUCCUGGUCACCAUGUCCCCUGAGACCGCUGCAGGGGAUUCUAGCGGUGCCCUGACAGACCCAGCUGGGCCUGGAGCGUGUUACACACUGGCCUGAAUCCCCAAGAAAGCUGCUAUGGCAGAGCGGGACCGAGAGGCCCCCCAGAGAUGCUGCUCCUACCACACGGUGCAGAGGAGGCUCCCUGUCCUCAGGUGGCUGCCCCACUAUUCUCUGGGGUGGCUGCAGCUCGAUCUCAUCGCUGGCGUGACCGUGGGCCUGACUGUCGUGCCGCAAGCGCUGGCCUAUGCCGAGGUGGCCGGCCUGCCAGUUCAGUACGGUCUCUAUUCCUCCUUCAUGGGCUGCUUUGUCUACUGCCUGCUGGGGACCUCAAAAGAUGUGACGCUGGGUCCAACGGCCAUUAUGUCGCUGCUGGUCUCUUCCUAUGUGUUCCAUGACCCUGCCUAUGCCAUCCUGCUGACCUUCCUGUCAGGCUGUAUCCAGCUAGCCAUGGGUCUCCUGCACCUCGGUUUCCUACUGGACUUCGUUUCCUGCCCCGUCAUUAAAGGGUUUACCUUGGCGGCUUCGGUCACCAUUAGCUUCAACCAGGUCAAGAACAUCCUGGGGCUGCACAACAUUCCACGACAGUUUUUCCUGCAGGUGUAUCACACCUUCCAAAGAAUCGGGGAGACCAGGGCCGGGGAUGCUCUCUUGGGGCUGGUCUGCCUGGCAAUGCUUGUGGGGCUCAGGGCGAUGAAAGGCCACAUCCCCAGGAUCCAUCAGGUGGAGCUGUUGUCCGUCAGGAUCAGUCGUCUUAUCCUCUGGGCCACAGCAACAGCUCGCAAUGCACUCGUGGUCCUGUUUGCGGGCCUGGUCGCCUACUCCUUCCAGGUGAUGGGCUCCCAGCCGUUCACCCUCACUGGGGAGACGCCCCAGGGGCUGCCUCCCUUCCAGCUGCCGCUGUUCUCCAAGGUCGAAACCAACAGCACUGUGCCCUUCAGCGAGAUGGUGCAGGACCUGGGAGCUGGACUGGCUGUGGUGCCGCUCAUGGGUCUGCUGGAGAGCGUCGCUAUUGCCAAGGCCUUCGCCUCGCAGAACAAUUACAGAAUCGACCCCAAUCAGGAGCUGCUGGCGAUGGGCCUCACCAACCUCCUGGGCUCCUUCGUCUCCUCCUACCCCGUCACCGGCAGCUUUGGGCGGACAGCGGUGAAUGCACAGACAGGCGUGUGCACCCCGGCAGGGGGGCUGAUAACAGGGACCCUGGUCCUGCUCUCUCUGGCCUACCUGACCUCGCUCUUCUAUUACAUUCCCAAAGCCGCUCUGGCUGCUGUCAUCAUUUGCGCCGUGGCCCCUAUGUUUGACGCCAGGAUCUUCAGAACACUGUGGCGGGUUAAACGGCUGGACCUUGUGCCGCUGUGUGUGACGUUCCUGCUCUGCUUCUGGGAGGUUCAGUACGGCAUCGUCGCCGGCAUUCUGGUCUCCGGCGUUCUCCUGCUCUAUCCCAUUGCCAGGCCCCGGAUCAAGCUUUCGGAGCAGGAGGUGCUUCUCAUGCAGCCUGCGAGUGGUCUGCACUUCCCCGCUGUUGAGUCCCUCGGAGAUGCCAUGCACAGAUGGGCUCUGGCAGUGUCUCCGCCACGCUGUGUCAUCCUGGACUGCACCCAUGUCAGCAGCAUGGAUUAUACCGCGGUGAUGGGGUUGGCAGACCUGCUGCAGGAGUUCAAGAAAAGGGGCGUCACCCUGACCUUCUCUGGCUUGCAGGGCCACGUUCUCCAAGUCUUGCUGUCUGCAGAUCUGGAGGGAUUCCAACAUUUCCCCAGCAUGGAGGAGGCGGAGAAGGGCCAUGGAGCAGAGCUGGAUGGCAGGCGCCGAGUCCUGCUUCACAGCGCCAGCGAGAACAUGCUGCCAGCAUCAGGGCUCAUCCAGUGAGGAUGGGCAGCCCGCCCAGGUGCCGGAGGGUCUCCUUGCCUGAGACUGGCACCUCCUGGAUGCUCUGGAGAAUGGACACGUGCCACCCCCUCACCCCUGCCCUGGGUAGUUCCUAGUGCACUUUAAGGCAAUACAGCCGUGGCGAUGCUAACUGGUGAGGGGACAAAACCAGGUCUCGCCCCUUUGGGCUUGUUUCUCCAUUGCUGGGUCCCGGGGAGCACUGAGCCAUCUGACGUUGUGGGAGCCGGUUGCUAGCUGGUGGUGGGAAGCGUAGUGUUUCCGGGGGAUGGCACUGCCCCCACAGGGGAAGGGGACAUUGCCUUCCAGGGCCCCUUGUACUCCCCUUGGUUUGUUUCCACUGAAUCGCCCUGGCUUUUGGGGAAGGUGGUGGUGGCAGCGGGAUUGGGUGGAGGGUGUCUGAACAUCAGGGGACAAUCGGAGCAGGGACGGGCAGUGGAGAACCCAGCCAAGCCUCCGACGGUCUGUGCAGGCUGCCUGGGGAGUACGGGCAUUACGGAUGCUGGGCCAGAUUGAGACCUGUCGAGUCCGGCUGGGCUCUCUGGCCAGAGCUGAGCUCGGGAGCUUAGUGAGGGCUCUAGCACUUUAGUGACAUUAUGGACAAGGGAAUGAUAGUCCAGAAAGGGAAUUAUGGGAGCGAUGUGGUCUGCAAAGGGGUGGAGGGAGCGCAGCAGCGUCUGGGUGGGAGAUCUGGGCUUUGGAGGAGGUGCUUGGGGCGGGGGCACCAGGACUCAGAUGCCUCAGUUUAAAGGUGGCUUUUAGCUGUCACCAGCAAUAGGAAACAAACUGCCCCCUCCCCACCCCCAUGCACUGCACCCUCUGCAGUGCUCAUCACCCCACCUGCCUGAUAUCACACCCCCACACCACCCUGGUUCCAGACACAACUCCGCACAUUCCUGAGUCCACAGGCAUUGCACACUGGAUCGCCCCAAGGUCCGUCCAGACGAGCAUCCCGUCUCCAGAAGCGGCCAGUACCAGAUGCUUCAGAGGCAGGUGUGAGAAAUCCUGCAGGAGGAAGAUGUGGGAUAAUCUGCCCCCCUUUGAAAAUCUCCUGACUCCUCAUGGAGGUUGGCUGGUGGAGGUUCUCUUCCCAAACUCCGCUUUUAGUAUUUAUUAUUACAACUCUGCAUCUUGUUAUUCACAUAAAUGUCCAACGCCCCUUUGACUUCUAGCCUUUCCCUCUUAAUGCAGCGUUUCAAGGAUACAGUAGUUGUCCUCUGUGACCAAGGACAUGUCUCGGCCACCAGCGUUGGGGCUGAGCUGGGACGCUGCUAUGCUGCACUAGCACGGCUUUGAAACUGCUCUCUAAUGCUUCAGAAUCUGAUUUCCUUUGAAAAGAAGCAAGCCUCUAGCUGCUACGGUUGGGGGAAAACCUCACAAAUGUGAAAUUAGUGCAAAGAGCCUGAAACACUAGCUCGGAGAGGGGAACUGCUCUGCUCAGCUGGGAGGGGCCAGUGAGGAUAAUUGAAAUGUCACCAUUGUUAACUAUUCCAGUCCCCGUGUAAGGAAGGAGGUGGAGGGACACCGCUCUGCACAAUGCUCUGGGGGUGAAUUGUGGUGCAUUGGGGAGAGUCGGCCACUUCUUAUUAUUCUUCCCCAGUCCAGAACAGAGCCGAGCCCAAGGAGCCUCUGGGCACGUGCAAGCCGGAGGAGCCCAGCUGACAUUUUAAAUGUUCACACAAUCUGCUGUGCAUGCUGCCUCGUUCUGGCCACUCACGAAUGACUAAACCCCAGGCACUGCCUGUGACUCAGGAGUCCUUACAGGCAAGAGAUGGAGGGUACCCAGUUACGAGUCCGUACCCCGGGACUUGCCAAGACAUGGCACGUCUCCCCUGUGAUCGAUAGUUCCGCGAAGGGGGCCGUGUGCAGUCUGUGCCGAAAGCUAAGAACUCGCUGGCUGUCAUGGUUAUUGGGGGAAGUAUGGAUGGAAAAUAUCGUAGGCGUGAUGGAACGUGGGAUGUUGUGCUCCAACGCUGCUGGAGGUGAAGCUGCUCACCUAGGCUGAGGUGGUUCUGGGAGCGAACUCAGUGAAGAGGGAGGACAGCUGACAUCUCUCAGCCCAGCCAAGCUUUUACAGUCUAGACAAGGGGCAGGCUCUGGCCCUUUACAGAGCACAAAAGGGGGAACAUUGGGGCAAACGGAAGGUGACAAAAUGCCCCAGGUUAGGAAGAGAGACAAAUGGUCUGGAACUGUGAAACAGAAACAGAAGGCCCCAGAUGGCAUCCAUUAUGGAGGGGACACUCCGCCAGGGUGGGUGUUGUAAGAAACGUCGACGCCAGCUCUCUCGACUGGCCAAGCGCUGUAUGGACUGCCCACUGGGUGAGAAUUACUUCAUUAGACAGGAAAGGAACUCACUCAUAAGUAGCGGCUCUAGAUUGCAGGUUAGAUUUUUCUUUUAUCUGUAACCAGGAGUUUUCAAUCCUUAGACUUGCUUCUAUGUGACUCUCUGUCUUAAGCUUUGUCAGAGAAACGUGUAUAUCAGCUAAGUGCCGGGUGCUAAGGAGAGUGUUGAGCGGAGGCAAAGUGAGGGAACUGUGGGACGCUGCUUCCACGGAGGCAGCAAAUCUGUGUGCACUGUGUCCAGAAGUCGAGGGCCUGGGCACUCAAGUGUAAGGAAAUGGGGUGUACAGAUGGGUCAGAGGGACCUGAACCCCAGGACCAGAGCUUAACUGUGGGGACUAUUUCCAGAGAUUGAGCCACAGUUUAAUUCUACUCUGGCCCCUGACUUGCUUAGGGAGCCUAAGGGUUGGCGUGUGCAUAUUGCCAGCCUGCAGAGGGGAAGAGUGGUCCUUGUGCAGGUUUGCUUUGAGGAUGAGGACUGAUAAGUUAGGUAUAGAGAGAUCGCUUUGUGGAAAGUGUCUCCCCUCCCGUCUUGUAUCAUUUUCCUGUCUGAGCUCACGUGAGAGCGUUGUGAUUGUCUGGUUUCACCCUGCUGUUGUUAUUGGGGUCUUUAGUGCACUGCAUGAGGGACACCACAUUUGCUGUGAUGCUCGGAGGACCUUUCCCAGACCUGGAGAAGAGCUCUGAGUGGCUCCAACGCCUCUCUCUCUCUC